rnacentral:lncRNA from 1 species
GGGGAAUACAAUCAAUGUUGAUGAUCAGCCGCAUGGAAUGGAUCAGCUGCCAUGUGUUGGAGGUGUGGAAAGUGUGCAACGAGGCCUGGGCUGCCAGCUGGAGGCGUCAUGUGUGUGGUGCUUCCUAGAAGAUCACAGCUGAUGCUGAAUGCACGUUAGGCUUCAUAUGGUGUGGGACGUGUGCACUCCAAGUAUUUCAAUCGAGGCACUCCAUGAUGUGUAAAUGUGAUGGUAUGAAACAUGUGCUUUCAUGAUGCAGCCCCUUCCUUGCUAAGCUCAGCCCCCC